rnacentral:rRNA from 1 species
UACGUAGGGUGCAAGCGUUGUCCGGAAUUAUUGGGCGUAAAGAGCUCGUAGGCGGUUUGUCGCGUCUGCUGUGAAAAUCCAGGGCUUAACCCUGGACCUGCAGUGGGUACGGGCAGACUAGAGUGGCGGUAGGGGAGAUCGGAAUUCCUGGUGUAGCGGUGAAAUGCGCAGAUAUCAGGAGGAACACCGGUGGCGAAGGCGGAUCUCUGGGCCGUAACUGACGCUGAGGAGCGAAAGCAUGGGGAGCGAACAGG